rnacentral:lncRNA from 1 species
ACAGCAGCCCUCGCAUUCGUGGCUGGUGGUGUUCUGGCUUUUGGCCUCAAGACUCGUGAGCCACUCGGGGUUUCCGCUCGUCAUGUAACCUCUGGGCGGGGGCCUUUCCCAGGGGGCUGCUGGCUACCCCCAGGGCCAGCCCGGCCACCAAGAAGCCCAGUGGUCCCAGCCUCAUCUCUUCCCGUCACUGCGGCUUCAGUGGGGGCCCUCUCCUCUACCCCAGAGUGUGGAGAGAGCAGUCCCCGAGGCUUGGGUCAUUGGGCUGCACCCUGUGGGGGAGCUGGGCCUCCGCUUGGUAAACACUCUCCCCCUUCUGACAUUGGCAGAGCGCAAAGGCCCUGGGCGAACAGCCCAGACCUGGGUGGAGAUGAAGGGGCGAUUACCAAGACCUGCCGGUUUCACCUAUACAAUAUCGCCAAGAUCCGCCCUCUCCUCUCCACCCAAACGGCUACCUUACCGCUACGGGCUCUCGUUAUAUCCCGGCUAGACUACCGUGUCAGCCUUCUCUCUGACCUCCCUUCCUCCUCUCUCGCCCCGCUCCGGUAUAUUCUUCACUCCGCUGCCCGGCUCAUCUUCCCGCAGAAACGAUCUGGGCCUGUCACUCCCCUUCUUAAACAACUCCAGUGGUUGCCUAUCGACCUCCGCUCCAAACAAAAACUCCUCACUCUAGGCUUCGAGGCUCUACAUCACCUUGCCCCUUCCUACCUCUCCUCCCGUCUCUCUUUCUACCACCCACCCCGCACGCUCCGCUCCUCCGCCGCCCACCUCCUCGCCGUCCCUCGGUCUCGCCUAUCCUGCCGACGACCCCCGGGCCGCGUCCUCCCGCGGUCCCGGAACGCCCUCCCUCCUCACCUCCGCCAAACUGAUUCUCUUCCCCUCUUCGAAACCCUACUUAAAACUCACCUCCUCCGAGAGGCCUUCCCAGACUGAGCUCCCUUCUCCUUCUACUCCCUCUACCGCCCCCCCUUCACCUCUCCACAGCUAAACCCUCUUUUCCCCCUUUCCCUCUGCUCCUCCACCUCUCCCUUCCCCUCCCCACAGCACUGUACUCGUCCGCUCAACUGUAUAUAUUUCCGUUACCCUAUUUAUUUUGUUAAUGAAUUGUACAUCGCCUCGAUUCUAUUUAGUCGCCAUCGGUUUUUACGAGAUGUUCUUCCCCUCGACUCUAUAUAAUCGCCAUUGUUCUUGUCCGUCCAUCUACCCCGAUUAGACCGUGAGCCCGUCAAACGGCAGGGACCGUCUCUAUCUGUUGCCGACUUGUUCAUCCCAAGCGCUUAGUACAGUGCUCUGCACAUAGUAAGCGCUCAAUAAAUACUAUUGAAUGAAUAUUGAAUGAAUACUACAGAUUUGCCUCCUCCCCCUGCUGCUACUCCCCAGGGCUCUGUCAGGGUUCAGGCACUUCUAGAAGCAGGGCAGAUGGUGACAGAUGAAGCAGUGUGGCCUAAUGGAAAGACCCCAGGCCCGGGAGUCAGAGGACCUGGGUUCUAAUCCUGGCUCUUGAUUAUUGCUCUGUAAAGUGGCCAUUCACCCAGUUUUACAUCAGACGGGUCAUUUUUCAGCUGGUCUGUCCCAGGCUGAGGCAAUUAGGACACCAGACGCCUUUAGGUCUGGGAUUUGGGGCUAAGUACCAAGGCAUCAUGGCCUAAUGGAAAAGGCCCGGGCCUGGGAGUCAGAGGACCUGGGUUUGAAUCCCACCCCAUCCAAUAGCUCUGCCAACUGCUUGGUGUGUGAUCUUGGACAAGUCACUUAACUUUUCUGUGCUUCAGUUUCAUCGACUAUAAAGUGGGAAUUUAAUCCCUUUUCUGCCUCCUACUUAGGCUGUGAGCCCCGUGAGGGACAGGGAUUGUGUCCGACCUAAUUAGUAUGUACUUACCCCAGUGCUUAGAACGGUGUUUGACUCUUAGUAAGUACUUAACAAAUACCAUAAAAAAAGGUAUCCGUCCUCCUCCGCCGUCAAGCCGAACGCUGCGUUCCACGGCUUGGAAGCGGCGUCUAUAUUCACACGGACUUGGGAAGGGGACACAAAACUGGGGAGUGAGUGAGAGUUGGGGAAUCAGAGAAACACGCUCGAUUCAGGAGGACACAGGUGGAAGACCUCAAAAUGUCAUAUACGAUGUCAAUACGGUACACUGCAGGCCUGACCUAGCACAUGUGACGACAUGGGCUUUGCGGUGGCCGGUAAUUUUGCGUGCGGUGGCCAGCCCCACCUGGUUCUGGGGAGAUUGGGAGGGAGUGGUUGUCCCUUGGCCUGGGCGAGGUUCCAGAAGAGAAAGUAAAAUUGGGCGGGGGGCGUCUUUGUAGAUGCCCGUUACUGUGGAAACAGUUGCCUGCCUCACAGAAGCCUAGUUCCAAGAUUUUAACUUAGAAACUGGGUUGAGUUACGGAAGACUCAGUUGGAAUCAAACCUCAAUAUGACUCCGGCGACAGCAGGAAGGGGUGGUGGUGAUUUGUCAGCCCCGAGAGGACUCCUGUCUGCCACAGACAAGAUUAACGGAAGCCGUAGAAAGACCCCGGGCCUGGGAGCCAGAGGACCUGGGUUCAAAUGUCAUCUCUGCCAGUUGCCCGCUGGGUGACUUUGGGCAAAUCACUUAACUUCUCCGUGUCUGUUUCCUCAUCUAUUAAAUGUGGAUUAAAUUCUACUUCCUUCUGUCUAGUCUGUGAAACCCCUGUGAGACAAGGACUGUGUGCAACAUGAUUAUCUUGGCUCUGCUCCAGCACUUAAUACUAUAGUAAUACAUAAUAAUUAGUAAUUACUAUUAUUAUUAAGGGGAGCCCAAUUUUUCCUCCUGGAGACUCUCAGCAUCGACUGUCCCCCCCAAGACAAGGGCACUGAGAACAGAUCUCCAACUCCUUUAUUCCCAGAUUCCUCCAUCAUUCCCUGCGGGGUUAACCGUUUCCUGCCCAACCUGAGGCUUCUUGGUGACUGUUACAGAGAGUAGUGGCCUCGCAGGGGAGGGGAGGAAGCUGGGCUGCAGGCCAGAUCGGUGUAAAGACACAAGAGACCGAGCGUGGGGGAGGAAGGAAAGAGCGAUUGGAAGCAGGAAGAGUAGCCACCUAAGCUUGGUGCUACCAGAGAGAGAGAGAGAGAGACCAGAUUGGUUGUUCUGGAUUCCACAGGGCCGGGUUGGGUUGACACCAGUUUAACUUAAUUGGUCCUUGGAUGGCCUUGAGCAGUAAGACCCUCCCUGGGUUCUUCUCUGUGUUUUCUCCUCCUGAGGGUGUAUUGGCUGGGUGGGGGGCCCUGGGUUACCCCAGAAGUAUCCUCCAGGAUCCUAGCAGAAGAGAGAGAGCAAAGAACAGGUUUAGAUUCAAGACGGAGAUGCCCCUGCAUUCCUGAUCUUGGUAACCAACAGCGCUUAGCCCGUAAGCAGCAUGGCCCAGUGGCUAGAACACGGGCCUCGGAGUCAAAAAGACCUGGCUUCUAAUCCUGGCUUCUCCACCUGUUGGCUGAGUGACCUUGGACAAGUUACUUACUUUCUCUGUGUCUCAGUUACCUCAUCUGGAAAAUGGGGUUGAACUUUGUGAGCCCCAUGUGGGACAGGGACUGUGUUCCGACCUGAUUACCUGGUAUUUACUCCAGAGCUUAGAACUGUGCUUGGCACAUAGUAAGCGCUUAACAAAUACCAUAAAAAAAAUAAAAGACUUGUUAGUGCUGACCAAUUUAGAAAGCUCUACUCACCUAGUCGACAAUGAAGACUUUUGUCUCCGUCAAGUUGUACUCUCUAACUGUGGGACAUGGGAGACAGGUCUGUAAAGGCAUUUGUAACUUGUAUGUUUCAUACAUCUGGUAGCUCCCGUUCGGAUAAUGAACCUAAGGGAAACCAGAAUCAAAUAAAAGCCAUAUGAACGGGCUCUGAAAUCAAUCAAUCCAUCAUCGAUCAAUGGUAUUUACUGAGGGCUUAGUAUGUGCAGAACACUAUACUAAGCGCUUGGGAGAGUACUAUGCAAACAAUUAGCAGACACGAUCCCUGCCCAUGAUGAGGUU